rnacentral:rRNA from 1 species
AGUGAACGCUGGCGGUAGGCCUAACACAUGCAAGUCGAACGGCAGCACAGUAAGAGCUUGCUCUUACGGGUGGCGAGUGGCGGACGGGUGAGGAAUACAUCGGAAUCUACUUUUUCGUGGGGGAAAACGUAGGGAAACUUACGCUAAUACCGCAUACGACCUACGGGUGAAAGCAGGGGAUCUUCGGACCUUGCGCGUUAGAAUGAGCCGAUGUCUGAUUAGCUAGUUGGCGGGGUAAAGGCCCACCAAGGCGACGAUCCGUAGCUGGUCUGAGAGGAUGAUCAGCCACACUGGAACUGAGACACGGUCCAGACUCCUACGGGAGGCAGCAGUGGGGAAUAUUGGACAAUGGGCGCAAGCCUGAUGCAGCAAUACCGCGUGGGUGAAGAAGGACUUCGGGUUGUAAAGCCCUUUUGUUGGGAAAGAAAAGCAGCAGGUUAAUACCCCGCUGUUCUGACGGUACCCAAAGAAUAAGCACCGGCUAACUUCGUG